rnacentral:tRNA from 7 species
CGGGGUGUGGCGCAGCUUGGUAGCGCGCUUCGUUCGGGACGAAGAGGUCGUGGGUUCGAAUCCCGCCACCCCGACCG